rnacentral:pre_miRNA from 1 species
AAACGAUGAUGAUGAUGAUGAUGAUGAUGAUGAUGAUUAUGAUCAUCAUCAUGAUCAUCAUCAUCGUCAUCGUCAUCACCACUU